rnacentral:rRNA from 1 species
AACGGCCGCGGUAUCCUAACCGUGCAAAGGUAGCAUAAUCAUUUGCCUAUUAAUUGUAGGCUAGAAUGAAGGGGUUAACGAAAUAAAGACUGUCUCAAUUAAUUACCUAAAAAUUAUUCUCUACCCGAAGAAAGGUAGAUAAUCUCGAAGGACAAGAAGACCCUAUAGAGCUUAAUUUUAAUUACAGGGCUAAACUAUAAAAAUAUUCGGUUGGGGCGACCCAGGGCUAAACAAUCACCCAUUAAAUAAAAGAUAAAUAAAUCUAAUAAAUGACCCUUUAAAGAUCACAAGAACAAGCUACCUUAGGGAUAACAGGCUAAUCCCACUUAAGAGACCUUAUCAACAGUGGGGGUUGGCACCUCGAUGUUGGCUUAGG